rnacentral:rRNA from 1 species
AUUGAACGCUGGCGGCAGGCCUAACACAUGCAAGUCGAGCGAGCGGCGGACGGGUGAGUAAUGUAUGGGGACCUGCCCGAUGGAGGGGGAUAACUACUGGAAACGGUGGCUAAUACCGCAUACUAUCGGAUGAACCCAUAUGGGAUUAGCUAGUAGGUGGGGUAAAGGCUCACCAAGGCCACGAUGCCUAGCCGACCUGAGAGGGUGAUCAGCCACACUGGAACUGAGACACGGCCCAGACUCCUACGGGAGGCAGCAGUGGGGAAGAUUGCACAAUGGGCGCAAGCCUGAUGCAGCCAUGCCGCGUGUAUGAAGAAGGCCUUAGGGUUGUAAAGUACUGUCAGCGGGGAGGCGUUACCCGCAGAAGAAGCACCGGCUAACUCCGUGCCAGCAGCCGCGGUAAUUC